rnacentral:rRNA from 1 species
UACAGAGGUGCCGAGCGUUAGGCGGAAUCACUGGGCUUAAAGCGUGUGUAGGCGGGCCGUUAAGUAUCUUGUGAAAUCCCCCGGCUCAACCGGGGAAUGGCUGGAUAUACUGGCGGUCUUGAGCGAUCUAGGGGCAGAUGGAACAAGUGGUGGAGCGGUGAAAUGCGUAGAUAUCACUUGGAACGCCAAAGGUGAAAACAGUCUGCUGGGGAUCUGCUGACGCUGAGACACGAAAGCCAGGGGAGCGAACGGG